rnacentral:sRNA from 1 species
GCAGGGCGUGGUGCCACAUGCCUGUAAUCCCAGCAACUGGGGAGGCAGAGGCAGGAGGGUCACAAGCUUGAGGCCAGCCUCAGAAACUUAGUGGGACCCUGUCUCAA